GGGGUCGCGUCGGGGACGUCACUCACCUGCGCCGGCCUCCCGGCGUGCCCCGGAGUCCAGGCGCUUGCUGGUGCGCGGGGCCGGGACUGUUCGGCCGUCGGGUCCUCGGACUACGGCCUGGGGGACGGGGACGGCGGCCGAGGCGGGGACCUGGGGCCAGGCUUUCAAGCUGACCCUCACGACGUGCAGAGCGUGGCGCGAGGACACUGGAAGGAGGCCACACAGGAGGCUGCUGCUGACCUCGCGGACCUUCUCUGCGUCCGAGAUUCCUUCAGGAAGUUAAGAGCGAGCCCGGCGCGGAGGUCACGCCUGGGAGCCCAGCGACUCGGGAGGCUGAGGCAGGAGGAUCCCAAGUUCAAGGCCAGCCUGGCAACUUAGACCCUGUCUCGAAAUAAAAAGGGCCAGGAGGUGUCUCAGUGGUAGAGCGCCCCGGGUUCGGUCCCCAGGCCCCAGACAGACAGGGGACCGAGGUCAGUCGCCCGAGUUGUUGAGUGCGGGCGGCGGUUAACGAUGUUGGGGACGAAAAUAAGAAUGGCUGCAGUGUGGCCUGAAGAAGAGCAGAGAUCCCUUCUGAGCCGUGGGGGCUCUUCUGACAGGCAGUUGGCCACACAGACCUAGUGUCGCGGGCAGAGGCUCCAAGGAGAACGCUUUUUCAGAAUCUAAUGAUACUUUGCAAUUGAGAAAAACUAGAGUGGCCCGGUGGCCUCUUGACCUCUAACAGACUUGCAGAAUUUAUAGCAUCCUGUUUUUUUUUUUUUUUUUAAAUCAAUCUCCAACCUCUGGAUUUACCUCGUUCCUGUUCAUAUUCCGCAAGGCAUGGCUUCUUUUUGUGAUGAAGCCUGGAUCCUGCUUACGCUCCGCAGAGGGUGGCUUAGUGUCUAGCUGAUCUUUGUUGUCCCAAUUUGCAAAUCUAUUGUGCACCCAAAUAAACUGUGCUUCAUUUUAACCUCCUUCGUGGUUUCUAGGUUUA
rnacentral:lncRNA from 1 species